GCCGCUGUGGCGGAACUGGCAGACGCAAGGGACUUAAAAUCCCUCGACGGGCAACCGUCAUCCCGGUUCGAUCCCGGGCAGCGGCA
rnacentral:tRNA from 1 species